rnacentral:sRNA from 1 species
CUAGAGGGGCGGCCGUUGGGGAGUAGCUUCCGACAUAUCCCAGUCGGGAUCGCGUCAACAUGCUUGCCUUAGGGCAUGGCGCGAUCAGCGGAUUUUGUGUCCGCCUAGCGAGACCAGCAUGCUGCACCCGUGGGGCCGGCCCGCGCGUGGAGCGUGCUGUCAUACGCCCGGCCGA